CGAGGGUCAGGGCCUCGGGCCCCGUGAUCUCAAGGGUCGCGCCGUCGUGCUCGGAGCAGGGACCCUCGUC
rnacentral:tRNA from 1 species